ensembl:lncRNA
GUCAGCUUUGGCAUGAAAGUAACUCUACCCUAUAUGCAACAUGAUGCUCAACAAAUUAUUAUUCAUGAAGACUACAUCCAGGAUGAACAUCAUGAUGAUAUUGCACUUAUUCUGCUCACUAAAAAGGUUUUAUUUAAGAAUGAUGUACAUCGAGUUUUUCUUCCUGAAGCCACAUAAAUUUUUGCACCUGGUGAAGGAGUUGUUGUUACAGGAUGGGGAAGACUUUCAUUUAAUGGUAAAUAUCCAGUGUUCCUUCAGAAAGCAUCUGUGAAGAUUAUUGAUACAAACACUUGCAAUGCUAAAGAAGCCUAUCAUGGUAUGGUGCAGGAUACAAUGCUAUGUGCUGGGUACAUGGAAGGAAAUAUUGGUGCCUGCCAGGUAAUUCUGGCUAUUAUUUACAUUGACCAGUAGUAUAUAAAUAACUGCUCUUACUUUACGAAAAUCAUCAAUAUGGAGACAAUUCUAUACUUCAAUUAAUUUGCACUUUUCCAAUCCUGUCAAAGUUCCUCUCAGCUUUGGCACUAAAGUAAUUCUUCCCUACAUGCAACAUAUGUUUUUAAGUGUUUAACAAACAUUUAUGCUGGACUUAUUCUGAGUCAAACACUGUUUUAAGUCCUCUACAAAUGUUGAUUCAUUUAAUCUUCAUUACACUCUUAUGAUGUAGAUAAUACCAGUAUUUCUCAUUUUAUGAUGAGGAAAUAGAGGCAGGUAAAUUUUAGUAAUUUGCACAUCAUAGCUGACAUACAAACCUAGGCUGUCUAGCACCACAGUCCAGAUUCUUAGCUACAUUUCAAUAAAUAAUCAUCUCAGAAUUUUUUCAAUUACUUUCAGCCCAUUCUGAAAUUCCUCUCACUUUCUUACCCCCUCAUGGUUAGAGUUCUGGUAUUUUUUUCUCAGAUAUGAAGUCCCGUAUUCCAAGUAUAUUCAUAUGUCUCCCAAAGCUUUGUCAUGGAAUUAAAGCUUGUAACUUAUUAAAUCAUACCUUUGGUGCAGUGGCUCAUGCCUGAAAUCCCAGCACUUUGGGAAACCAAGGCAGGAGGACUGUUUGAUAUCAGGAGUUCAAGACCAGCCUGGGCAUCACAGUGAGACCUCAUCUCUACAAAAAACAAAAAAAUAGCUAGCUCAGUGUGUUGGCAUGCCUGUAUUCCUAGCUACUCAGAAAGUUAGGUGGGAGGAUUACUUGAGCCCAGGAGUUCCAGGCUGCAGUGAGCUGUGAUCAUGCCACCGCACUCCAGGCUGGGAGACAGAGUGAGAUCCUGUCUCUAAAAUAUAAAUAAAUUUAAAAAAUAAAUCACAACUUUCAGUUUUAGGUAAACUCCAGAGUCCUAGGCAAGGUAUUCUGGUCAGUCACAGUUGAAGUUAAUGGUGACACAGGGAUUUACACUGUAGGUAAAAUGCUAAUGACUCACAAACUUUAUCUGGAGUUAUCAUUUAGUGUAAAUGAAGUAUCCAAAAGGAAAUUCUCACAACGAUAUAUAUUCUUUGUUUUAUUCAGGGUGACUCUGGAGGACCAUUAGUUCAUCCUAAUUCUCAAAAUAAUACCUUGUUGGAGUAGUGAGCUGGCGAAGGAAUGAAUGUGGUGCAAUCAAUAGUCCAGGGGUCUACACACGAGUGACCACCUACCGCAACUGGAUUGCCUCUAAGACUGGUGUCUAACAGAAAAUCAUCUCCUAGCAACUAUUAUAGGUUGAUUUUGCCCGUUACUCCUAAGCCUUACUUAACAUGCAUUUUAAAUUAGUGUGUACAAUGGCUGUUUUGAAAGAAUUGUCAUCCCAAGGGAAUAUCUGUGGACUUCUAAGCUAACUCAAUAAAACAAGACAUCUCAGGUUUGGUCCAGAAAAACCAAAGCAAAGACAGUGUUCACAUCAAAAACAGACUAUUAUAAUACGAAUUAUUUUUCUGUUUCAUUAACUCACAUCAUGGCUAUCUCAUCACAGCAUAAACUCUUGGUUUUUGUCAUUCAGACUUUCUAGAAUUGUGAAAGUGUGUCCUUGUCCAUGGCAAAUUAAUCACUGUAACUGGAAUCAAUACUUUAUGCAGACUGGGUUGGAAUAUGCUAUAUCUGCCUUCAUAUCAUAGUGUUUGUGGAAGGUGUGUGGUUGUGAUCUAAAUCUAGUCUGAAUGUAGGCACUGAGUUACACUCUUUUAUUUGUAUGAAGUCUUGAUCAAUUCUUGCAAUCAUUGUGAAAGAAUUUCACAUCAGCAAAACCAGGCAAAACAGCACAUUUUAGACUUACAGAGACCAGGCAGAGUAGUAGUUCUUCACUGUUGUUACAAGUUUCUGUGGAAAUUCUUUAUUUGUAACAUAUUUUGAAAAGUAUGCACCCUGAAAAUAUGUAAUGUAUUUUAAUUAAAACAAAUUUAAAAGCAAACUGUUCAAUGACAGUUUUCUUUUUGGUUUUUGUUUGCUUUGAGAAUUCGUGCGUGGGUUUUCCUUUCUAACUUCUUUUUCCAUAAAAAGAAGGGUUGCCUGUACUUGGACCAUGGCUUGCGGGAGGACACAGGGUGGUUAAAAAGUAUCUUGAGGGCCGGGCCUGGUGGCUCAUGUCUGUAAUCCCAGCACUUUGGGAGGCCGAGGCAGGCAGAUCACUUGAGGUCUGGAGUUUGGGACCAGCCUGGCCAACAUGGUGAAACCUCGUCUAAUUAGCUGGGGGGUGGUGGCUGGCGCCAGUAAUCUCAGCUACUCGGGAGGCUAAGGCAGGAGAAUCACUUGAACCGGGGAGGCGGAGGUUGCAGUGAGGAGAAAUCACCACUACACUCCAGGCAGGGAGACUCUUCUAAACAAAACAAAACAAAACAAAACAAAACAAAACAAAACAAAACAAAAACAGUAUCUUGAGGCUGAAGGGAGCAGCUCCGGUGGACGCUGACACAGGUCUGACAGAGGAAUGGGGCCGGCGGGCCUCUUGAAGGCCUCCGGGAGCCGCAGGCUCCUUGUUGCGCCAGAGGAAGAGGCCUGGCCAGCGCGGGUUGGGCCCCUCCAGCCCGCUGAGUCUGGUCAGGUGGUUGCCAAUCUUCCGGAUGAGUUUUCAUUCGCGGCCUAGAAAGUCGUUCUCCAGGAAG